rnacentral:lncRNA from 1 species
UCCAAUACAAAGCAUAUAAAGUAGUCUUCUUUUAUACCCAAGCUCUCUUAUUCAAUAUCUUCCUUCUACUUUCGUAGUUUCCUCUUCUUUAAUUGAAUCUUUCUAUCUUAGUUAACGAUCUUGGGCUAGCAAAAGGUCUCCCCAUUUACACACUUUCAUAGUUUCCUCUUCUUUAAUUGAAUCUUUCUAUCUUAGUUAACGAUCUUGGGCUAGCAAAAGGUCUCCCAUUUACACCUUUCUUCUGCUAUUCUCUACGAUUGAUUCAUUCUAAACUGCAACAAAUUUAUCCUUAAUAUUUCAUUUCAAUUGGAAUUUGGCUAUUCACCAUGUAAGAGGGUGGAAUCCUAAAUGAAAUCUGGACUGUUGACUUUGAUUUUGCCUACUAAAACGCGGAAUAUAUCCAUUCCCCAUAUAUACCCUAAUUCUUUUCUGAAGUUUAUCUGCUGUGGACUAAACAAUGAAAAAGAAACGGCUUAAACCAACACCAAGGGAACGCAGACAAUUCUGCUAAGGAUGUAAGCCUAAUGAUUUUACAGAAGCAACAUAGAGGCACUAUCUGGCCACCAUCGCAGGUUCCAAUAGAUAUCUAUGUUGCUCGAACUCUUCAAAAUUGUCGAUUGGAUUUUGUUGAAUCCGUAGUGUAUUUUUGGAGGACCGACAUAGGCACGACAAUAUAUUUGGAGAACCCAGGUACCAGACAUAUACCAGGCAAAGCUUUCAAGUUUUCAGGUCUCGGGCGUUCAAUGCUUUUUACAUCUUUUUAUAAUGGUGUGCAGAUACAGAGUGAUUCUAAGAUGAAAACCAACAAACUGGAUAUAUAAGUGGAAAGACUGGUCACACGAGAUCUCUUAAUGGAAAGACUUUAUAACUCACCCAUUUCAAAUAACUCCCUAUAUUUUUUUAUUUGAGCUUUCACAGAACUUCUAUGUUGAAUGGGGAUAAUCGUUUACUGGCAGUCAUCUCUCUUCUCCUUUUAUUUUAGGUUGCUUAACAGUGCGGAAAAGCCAAAUUCAGCAAUAAGCAGACGCUCAGGGGUACACUCCGUUUGCAGAUAACUGGCAACCAACAAUGCACAAGAGCACCUUGACUCAAGUAGCUUUACUAAAAACUAACGAAGCAUUAAGUGAACUUCUACAAGUUUACAGACAAUUUUCUGAAGCUAUGUUGCUAGCUAUUACUAUAGGACAAAAUUAUGAUUAAGGAGGUAGCAUCUGAUUUGCUUUUCUUAACCCAUAUUCAUUUGGCUUGGAUGGAUAAUAGACAAAACUGCACCAAAAUAGAGAUCAGUUAUGGCAUGUCCUGUUGCAAAUGCAUCUUGAUCAGUUUUCAUCUUCUGAAUCAGGAAUGACAACAGACUCAGCAGCUGUAUUGAUGCUAGGUCUCUGCCUCAACCUAUUCUUCGCACCUAUAUGAGUGCUUCCUGGAACAGCAUAGCCAGUCAC